rnacentral:rRNA from 1 species
GAAUGACUCUCGGCAACGGAUAUCUCAGCUCUUGCAUCGAUGAAGAACGUAGCGAAAUGCUAUACAUGGUGUGAAUUGCAUAAUCCCGUGAACCAUCGAGUCUUUGAACGCAAGUUGCGCCCAAAUCCCUUGUGGCCAGGGCACGUUUGUCUGGGCAUCAUGCA